UCCUCCUAUUUAGUAUGUUUGCUAUUACAUUUUGCGUUUUGUCUUUUGCGAACUACAUGUAGUCUACAAUCAUGCAGGCGAUAUGUUUAAGACAUGGUGCGAACUUGGCAGUAUUUGAGACCUUGGAUGAAUUGCUGUUAAUAAGACGUGAAUUAAAAAAGAUGAAUACAGGUUUAAGUUUCUACAUUGGUGGACGUAACAUCAACAGAUAUAUUUCUGGCGUAGAUUGGAGAUGGAUAAGGAAUGGAAAGAUGACCAAGAUGAAUUACUUUGCAUUCGGUACUGGACAGCCGAACGGAUCUUUUGGUAGCCCAAAAGACUGUUUGUUAAUCUACGUUCAUGAUCGUUGUAACCUCCAUGACGAUUGUUGCGACUCCUCCUUUGAAGGUUUUAUCUGCAAAAAGUAGAACAUUGUUAAGUAUUUUAAUGUGUUAUGUCUAAAGUCGAAUGCUUAAUGUUUGAUAUAAUACAUCUGAAUCUAUU